AAUAAAAUGCCUGAUUAAAGGAUUACUUUGAUAGAGUAAAUAAUGUAGUAUAAUACUUUUAUUA
rnacentral:tRNA from 1 species